rnacentral:sRNA from 1 species
UGGAAAAUAUGGUGUCUCCUGGUUUAAUACCAC